rnacentral:lncRNA from 1 species
GCGGAGUCAGCAGAGGGCAGGUUCUGGAGUUUGGGAGAGGCUGCGUUUUCUGGGGACUUCAGGUCCUGGACGGGGCCUGGAGAAGAUCGCCUGGCAAUAGGUGGCCGCAGUUCUGGGAGAGUGGGACUUUGGUCUGAAGCCGAUGGCCCUCCGGAGGCGGGCACUUGGGUGGUGCGGGGCGGAGGGCACGCGCCCCCGGGGCCACGCCGCGACGGGCAGCCGGACGACUGGGUCUGUGGGCGACCAACGCGGGGAGGUGGGGCGCCCGGAUAUUGUGUGGGUGAGAACCGGGGCGAACCGCAGCGCCCCACGAUCCCGAAGCAGAUCCGGGCUCUGCCGGAGCCGCACCUGGAGAGCCCGGGGAGGGCCGCUCUGGGCGUCGCCGUAAGUUCCCUUGAGUGGCGAAAGGAGUCGCCGCCUUUUACCCGCUUUCCCUGCACCAGUGCCGCCGCGGAGUGUGUGCAAAGGUCGUGCGCAGAUAAGCGGGCGCCGCGCGCACUCACGAGCCCUGCGGUGGGAGCGGCGCCGGCGGCUCAGCCGGUCGGUGGGAGGCGGCGGCCCGUGCGGCCCUGGGACAGGACGGACAGUCCUUAUCUGCAAGAAGCCGGUAGAAGGCCAGCAGCCCCGGGCAGCAGGCAAAUCCAAGGUGUCCUCCAGCGGCCGAGCUGCUGGACUCGCGAUUGUAACAGCGACCUGACGCAAAUGUGCUCCAGAGGGCCGAGGAAUAGCCGCGUUGGGUUCGAAUGUGCCCGGUGUUGGCGUCUGAGAGAGAAUGUCACCCCAAGGGACCUCGCGCUGUUCUCUCUCACCCCACGCCCAUCUUAGAAACGUAGGUUGCAUGAAUGGGAAGCAGCAUUUUAUGUACAAAAGUUGGUGACUCCGAAGCCACCUAGUGUUCCCCCUCUCUGACUUGUGGGCUGCAGAAUCCGACCCUGACGGGAAGCGACCGGACACCAGAAACUGGGAAUCUUGCAACUGACUUUGGUAGCAGCCAACGAGGCUGGGGAGGGCCCCUCUCCAGAGCAACUGUCCUGUAAAGGGACCCUGUCUUGUCCUCCUCUUGCUGGCUAAGCCAUAUUUUCCUUCUAGGGCAGAAGGGUGAGCAGACGGCUGGCGCUUGCCAGCCCCCAAAUGGGCCAGAGCUGGCCCAGGAACCGUCAGCCUGGGGUCAAGGCCUGGGUGCCCGGGCCAGGUGGAGGACCUGGGUGAAGCAGCGCUGGUGCAUGCUGCUGGGUUCACAAGCCAAGCAAAGCACUGCCCUCUCUGAGUCCGUUUUUUCCACUUGUAAACAGAGUAGUAAUCCCAAACUGGCCCCUGUGAUUGCUGAGGAUCAAAUGAGGGAGUGCCUGCUAUCCCGUGGCACAGGCUGGCACCUAAGUCGGCCUAUGCUGAAGCCCUAGGUCCCACCUUGGACUAUGCCAGGCACCACGGACACCUCACAAGCCCCCUACCCUCUCCAGUGGCACCUGCUCAAAAUCACAACUCCCCCCGCCCCCGCCCAGCUUCAGAAUACCCGCUGCUGGAGCAGGCCCCCGUCACAUUCCAGUUCCCUCCUCCAGCCAGGACUCUGUGUCAGCCAAGCUCCUGAGGAAUGCUGCUCUGUCCCUGCUCUUCCAUUCCACAGGGCUCUCCCUGGAUUCACCUGCUCCCCUGACAGCCUUCCCUAUUCAGGCACCAAACAGGUUCUGAACACUCAAAAGGCAUAGCAGCUACAGGGUGAUCCGAACCCAGCCCCUCCUUCAAGGGCCAGAGCCUGAGCUCGGUGAGAGAAACAGGGAGACAACCAGCAAGCAAUGUGGACGCCCCAGACAGAGGUGUGUGGCAGGUGCCGUGGAGUCCAGAGGGUGCCUGGUUUCUGCUGGAGCUGAGACUCAGAAGGGUCCUGAGGGACAUGCAGACCAAAAACAUACAGGUUCCAUCUCACUCCAGUGACAAUGGCAGUCACCAAGAACACCAACAAAAUCCCAGCAGCUCGGGAGGCUGAGGCAGGAAGAUCGUAAGUUCAAAGCCAGCCUCAGCAAAUUAGUGAGGCCCUAAGCAACUCAGUGAGACUCUUAUCUCUAAAUAAAAUACAAGAAAGGGCUGGGGGUGUGGAUCAGUGGUUAAGUGCCCCUGAGUUCAAUUCCCUUUACCAAAAAGAGAGAAUACCAACAACAAGUGCUGGCGAGGAUGCCAGGAAAAGGUAUCCUUGUACAUCAUUAGUGAGACUACAGAUUAGUGCAACCACUUUGGAAAUCAGUAUGGAGAUUCCUUAAAAGGCUAGCAAUGGCAGCCAGGUGCAGUAGUGCAGGCCUGUACUCCAGAGGCUUAGAGGCUGAGGCAGGAAGAUGGCAAGUUCAAAGGCAGCCUCAGCAACUUAGGGAGAUGCUAUCUGAAAAUAAAAAAUAAAAUGGGCCAGGUACAGUGGUGCACACCUGUAAUCCCAGCAGCUUGGGAGGCCGAGAUGGGAGGAACACGAGUUCAAAGCCAGCCUCAGCAAAGUGAGGCCCUAAGCAACUCAGUGAGACCCUGUCUCUAAAUAAAAUACAAAAUAGGGCUGGGGAUGUGGCUCAGUGGUUGAGUGCCUCUGAGUUCAAUUCCUAGUACUCCCCCCAAAAAUAAAUAAAAAAUAAAAAGGGUUGGGGAUGUGCUCAGUGAUAAAGCACCAAGGGUUCAAUCCCUGGUACCAAAAUAAAUAAAUAAAAGAAUAGGAAUGGAGCCAUCAUAUGACUCAGCUAUUCCACUCCUUAAUAUUUAUCUACAAGAACUAAAAUCAGUAUACUAGUGGAGCAGAGGAAGAGGAUGAGGAGGAAGGAGGAAGGAAAGGAAAGGGGAGGUACUGGGGAACAAUAUUGACCAAAUUAUAUCGUUAAAUUGUGUGUGUGUGCAAAUAUGUGACAAUGAACCCCACUUACUAUGUAUAAUUAUAAUGUACCCAUUUUUUUAAAAAGGUGCUGAGGGAUGGAGAGGAGUUCAGAAACCCAAAGGGUGGUGGCAGUGUACAUGUGCAAAGUCUGGAGGUGGGAGGACAGGCCGUCUUCUGGAGAGAGGCUGAGCGCUCAGGGUGGCAAUGCAGUUAAAGGACAUGGGUGGGUGGCAGAGCCUGGGCCCAGAAGACAGGGAGCUUUGGCCUUGGCAGCUGAAGGAUUUGUUCAGGCAUCUCCUGGGCAAAGCCUGUCCCCACCAGUCCCUAACUUAGCAGCUUUGCUGACGUAGUCUCAGUUUCCAGUCUAUUACAGGGAGAGGACAGCAGUGUCUACCUCACUGAGGACCCAGUGAAACAGCCGAGGGAUGAGCAGCCCUGUGCCUGUCUCGAGCCGAGAGCUGGGAAUCUAACUCCAACGUCUGUGUUUUUUCCUCUGGCUUCACCUAAUCAGCCCCAGCCAGCUGUCACUCUCCCCCCCCCCGCACCCCCCAGCCCCAGCUACAUCCCAGACAGAGAGAGACCAGGCCUCUCGCUGUACUGAGGCAGGGGCUGGGACCUUCCUGGGGUCACACAUCGAGAGAGACUGAGAUAACCUGGCUUGGACCCAGGGCAGCCCCUGCCCCGCCCUGCCUGACCCAGAGUCCCUGCCCCAUGCCUGCGUGGCAGGUGGGUGUCCAGCUGUGAGUCAGUGGGUGGCCUGGCCAGCAGGAGGCCACUGCUGUUGACAUGUGAUAACUGUGUUUAUUUAGUUGUAGCCACUCACCAAAGGGGCUAAUGUCCAACUCCUGCAUCUCCUGGAACCACCAACCACCACGGGGUAGUGGGACCUUCCUCCUCUACAGCGUACCUGGCUCAAAUUCACAAGAGCCUCUUUGGGGUCUUUGGAGACACUGAAGCCAGCAAGGCAGGGCUCCUUGUCACUGUUCUUGACAAGAGGAGACUGAGCUACAAGGCAGGACAUCACCCAGUGUCAUCCAGCCUGCCGGCUCUACCCACAGGGCCAGGGAACCGAGGCCCUGUGGGCUGUGACUUGAAGGAUGGUGGGAGGCCUCUGCACUGCCUCUCCCUCUCCCGGGCUCUCUGCCGCCCCACAGCCUGAGCAGGGCCCUGCGGCCCUCGGGGCUCUGGAUGUUGUUCCUACCUCCCUCUGGUACCCCACUUGCUCCCGCUUCCCUCCACUUAGCCCCAAGCCCCUCAGUCACAUGAGUCACAAACUGCAUUUGGCCCCGGGAGGCUAGGCAGGUGGCAGGCUGAUGAGGAAGGGGCUUUCUCACUGAAGAAGGAAGUCCCCUGCUCCCCCCACCUCUCAUCUGCAUAACCUGCCAGGACUCAAAACCUCAGGGCCACCAGCCAUGAGAGCCCUGGGCCAGCCACCGUCCAUCCCUCCAGGGAGGACAGUGGCUCAGGAGGCCAUGCUGGGCAAAGGGCUACACCCGGAUCCAUGCCCAGGACCCUGCCCAACAAGGAAUCCCCCAGAGAGGGGCCUGGAAGUGGGCUGAGUCCGCCCUGUGUUGGCCCCUGGGUGUGGCCUGAGGUCCAGGGGAAGGAGCCGCAGCCUCACUCUCUGACCUUCCAGCAGCACAUCCUUUGUCCCUGGAGAAUACAGUGGACCCCACUGGCCUUCCAGCACAUCUCCUGGCACAAAACCGCACCUUCCCUGGUUUCCACGGCCUCAAGAGCAGUGACCGGGAAGCCUUGCUUCAUCCAGCCUCAGGCAACCUUCUGGACCUGCCUCUAUACAGCCAAGAACUAGAGAGGGAGACUGAGGCCCAGCGGGCAUGUGUGCCAGACAGGGGCAGCUGGCACAAGAACCUGUCUGUCUGCUGCAGGCUGUCCCUUGCUGCCAGCGAGGAGGGAAGGUGGGUUCGCUCUGUGGCGUUCCACACCACGCCAGGCAGUGUUCUGGAUUCUGGGUCACCGCCCUGAGGUCCCAGCCCUGAGGUCAGGUCAUGUGGCCUCAAAGGCCGCCACGUCAGUCGGACUGAGAGGAGCCCUGUGAAGACGGGUGACCUUGGACUUGUCCUCAGCCUUCCCUGGAUGCUGACCACAGCUGGACUCCCCAGCCCUGAGGCCCAGCCAGAGGGAACAAAGCCUCCCACUCCUGGGCUUGACUUCACACCGGCCACCCCUGCUGUGCGAUUCACAUUUACAUAAAGGACAUCAGCUCUGGGCCUUGCUCUCCCCUUCUGCUAGGUGGGAAUGCAGCAGUGGAGCCAAGGGCCUCCCCAGCACGGCUGGGCCCUUGCCUCUCCCAGGCCUGGUCUGGAUUUCUCACCACAAGCCUCGAGGGAAAACCAACUCUGCAUGUUCUAAAUGAGGAAAAUGAAAUGAGGACACAUUAAGUGACUCUCUGGCCAAAGAAGCAUCCCGAGACCCACAGCGCUGAUGGGGCCGGGGUUGGAGGCCCAGCGUUUCUGUCCUACAGCUGGGGUCCCAGCUCCUUCCUUUCCUCCUCCCUUAACUAGGUUCCAGCUCAUCAGGGUUGAGCUGGGAAAACAGGAUGCCAAGAAGAAAGGGGGUUCAGGGCUCACAAAAUGGGAGUGGUGGCCAGGGAAGCCAUGCCUGUUCUCCCAAAGUCAGGAAUGGUGACAUUACAGGACCCUGCACAAGAAGCCACUGGCCAAGUGACACCUCUAGCAAAGUCCUCACCUGCCUGCCACCACUGCCUACCUCAGCCUUCCAGAUCUCAGGAAAAUGCCUGUGAUUGACAGGUACUACCCAGAACCCUGCUGCAGGGGAUGCUGGGAAGUGUGGCUCUUAGGCUUCCAGGCCCUGCAAUGGCAGCAGCCAUGGAGGAGGGGAAAUGACCUGGUGAGGUCCGUGAAUGCCCUGCACAAACUGGCCUGUGGGUCUUCCCCACCACAUGGUUCUGGGCAGAUCACCUGCUCCUCUUGCCUGCCUCCUGUCUGCAAAACAAGGACAGUCAGGUGCCCGCCCCACAGGUCAAACAAGCCACAUGGAACUAGCCUAGCCCAAGGGGCCUGGUACCAGCUGGCGCUUGGCACACGCCACUGCUCUCAUGGGUACAACUAGGGCGUUUUCUUGGGCAGGUCCAUCGACUGAUUUGGGCCCUUUCUGCCCUGUAGAAUUUCCCAUGGUGGGGCUUGGCAGGGUGGGGACCGGCACCUUGUCCUCCACUUGCAGACUCUCGGGCUCAGGCCUAGGGAUUUCUGCACAGGGAAUAGCCCCCCAGGAGCUCUUCCCAGCAGCUGCAUCUGCAGCACCUACAGUGGCGCUACCUCUGAUGGUGACAUCCACAGUGUCAGUAGUGAUCACCGUGAGCCCUAGAGCAGCCUAUUCCUGGGGGAACCCAGGCCUGGGGUGGCUUCCCGCCUUUUAUACUUCUUCCUUCUUUCCAAACCAGACUCCCCAGCCUUGCAGGGCCUGUGAAGACUCUUCCCAAGAGCCUUCCAGUAUAUACUCUGCUUCUUAACUCAGUGUUUUAACUGUGGGGUGGUGGCUCUCACAACAGUUCUGGGGAGAGUCAAGUGGGGUGCAUCCAUAGAUGGGAACCCAGUAGCCACUGAAGGCUGUAUGUGUGUGUGUGUGUGUGUGUGUGUGUGUACCGGGGAUUGAACUCAGGGGCACUCAACCACUGAGCCACAUCCCCAGCCCUAUUUUGUAUUUUAUUUAGAGAUGGGGCUUGCUGAGUUGCUUAGGGCCUUGCUUUUGCUGAGGCUGGCUUUGAACUCUGAACUCAUGAUCCUUCUGCCUCAGCCUCCUGAGCAGCUGGGAUUACAGGCAUGUGCCACUGCACCCAGCUUGAAGGCUGUAUUUUUAAAUAAUAUUUAAAACAUCUUCUGGGACUGGGGUUUUAGCUUUGUUGGGGGUAGAGUGCUUGCCUAGCGUGUGUGAGGCACUGGGUUCCAUCCUCAGCACCACAUAAAAAAAAAUAUGUAAAAUAAAGGUAUUGUGUCCAUGUACAACUAACUAACUAAAUAAAAGCUCCUGGAUGGAGGAUAAUUAUACGCAAUGGUGGGAUUCAUUGUUACAUAUUUGUUCCCACACACAAUUUAACAAUAUAAUUUGGUCAGUAUUGCUCCCAGGACCUCCCCCUUCCUCUCCCUCCUCCUUCCUCCUGGGCGUCUUCCUCUGCUGUACUAGUAUCUGUUCCAGCCCAGUCUUGGCAGUUUAGCAAGACCCUGUCUCAAAUAAAAAAUAAAAAGUGUUGGGGUUGAAGCCCAGGAGUAGGAGGCCCUUGGGUUCAAUCCCCAUCACUUCAAUAACUAAGCAGAUGGACAGAUAGACAAUCAGACAGAUAGAUAACUCCUGGAAAGUUCUUAGGAUAAAAUUCUUCUGUUGAAGUGCAAUUUUCAUCAGUAAAGCCCACAAAUCUUAAUAGACAACUGUGAUAU